rnacentral:rRNA from 1 species
GACGAAGGUGGCAAGCGUUAUUCGGAAUCACUAGGCGUAAAGCGAGUGUAGGUGGGUGCUUAAGUCCGCUGUGAAAUUUCCCGGCUUAACCGGGAAGGGUCAGUGGAAACUGGGCAUCUUGAGUUAGGCAGGGGGUACUGGAAUUCCCGGUGUAGCGUUGAAAUGCGUAGAUAUCGGGAGGAACACCAGUGGCGAAGGCGGGUACCUGGGCCUAUACUGACACUAAGACUCGAAAGCUAGGGGAGCAAACAGG